ACGGAGGGUGCAAGCGUUGUUCGGAAUUAUUGGGCGUAAAGAGCGUGUAGGCGGUUCGGUAAGUCAGAUGUGAAAGCCCUGGGCUCAACCCAGGAAGUGCAUUUGAAACUACCAGACUUGAGUACGGGAGAGGAGGGGGGAAUUCCCGGUGUAGAGGUGAAAUUCGUAGAUAUCGGGAGGAAUACCAGUGGCGAAGGCGCCCCUCUGGACCGAUACUGACGCUGAGACGCGAAAGCGUGGGGAGCAAACAGG
rnacentral:rRNA from 1 species